rnacentral:tRNA from 3 species
GGUCCCUUCGUCUAUCGGUUAGGACGACAGCCUCUCACGUUGUAAAGGCGGGUUCGAUUCCCGCAGGGAUCACCA